GUCGUCGUGGCCGAGUGGUUAAGGCGACAGACUAGAAAUCUGUUGGGCUCUGCCCGCAUAGGUUCGAAUCCUGUCGGCGACG
rfam:Ciona savignyi cont_40584, whole genome shotgun sequence.